AUACGUAGGGGGCGAGCGUUGUCCGGAAUGAUUGGGCGUAAAGGGCGCGUAGGCGGCCCGGUAAGUCUGGAGUGAAAGUCCUGUUUUUAAGAUGGGAAUUGCUUUGGAUACUGUCGGGCUUGAGUGCAGGAGAGGUAAGUGGAAUUCCCAGCGUAGCGGUGAAAUGCGUAGAGAUUGGGAGGAACACCAGUGGCGAAGGCGACUUACUGGACUGUAACUGACGCUGAGGCGCGAAAGUGAGGGGAGCAAACAGGAUUAGAUACCCUGGCAGUCCACACUGUAAACGAUGAAUGCUAGGUGUAGGGGGUAUCGACCCCUUCUGUGCCGCAGUCAACACAAUAAGCAUUCCGCCUGGGGAGUACGGCCGCAAGGUUGAAACUCAAAUGAAUUGGCGGGG
rnacentral:rRNA from 1 species